rnacentral:rRNA from 1 species
UACGGGGGGGGCAAGCGUUGUUCGGAAUUACUGGGCGUAAAGGGCUCGUAGGCGGCCAACUAAGUCAGACGUGAAAUCCCUCGGCUUAACCGGGGAACUGCGUCUGAGACUGGCGAGCUUGAGGGCAGGAGAGGAACGCGGAAUUCCAGGUGUAGCGGUGAAAUGCGUAGAUAUCUGGAGGAACACCGGUGGCGAAGGCGGCGUUCUGGACUGCAUCUGACACUGGAAGACGAAAGCCAGGGGAGCAAACGGG